CUGACCUUAGCUCAGUGGGUAGAGAGGUGGACUGUAGUUGGACUAAUCUAAAUUGGAAAUCCUUAGGUCGCUGGUUUGAUUCCGGCAGGUUGGA
rnacentral:tRNA from 1 species